rnacentral:rRNA from 1 species
UACGUAGGGGGCAAGCGUUGUCCGGAAUCAUUGGGCGUAAAGCGCGUGUAGGCGGCUUGGUAAGUCUGCUCUGAAAGCCCGGGGCUCAACCCCGGGAGGCGGGUGGAUACUGUCAAGCUCGAGUCCGGAAGAGGAGUGUGGAAUUCCUGGUGUAGCGGUGAAAUGCGCAGAUAUCAGGAGGAACACCAAUGGCGAAGGCAGCACUCUGGGAAGUGACUGACGCUGAGACGCGAAAGCGUGGGGAGCAAACAGG